GAUGAACGCUAGCGGCAGGCUUAACACAUGCAAGUCGAGGGGUAUUGGUUUUCGGACCAAGAGACCGGCGCACGGGUGCGUAACGCGUAUGCAAUCUACCUUUUGCAGAGGGAUAGCCCCAGAGAAAUUUGGAUUAAUACCUCAUAGUAUAGUACUUUGGCAUCAAGGAACUAUUAAAGUCACAACGGCAAAAGAUGAGCAUGCGUCCCAUUAGCUAGUUGGUAAGGUAACGGCUUACCAAGGCUACGAUGGGUAGGGGUUCUGAGAGGGAGAUCCCCCACACUGGUACUGAGACACGGACCAGACUCCUACGGGAGGCAGCAGUGAGGAAUAUUGGACAAUGGGCGCAAGCCUGAUCCAGCCAUGCCGCGUGCAGGAUGACGGUCCUAUGGAUUGUAAACUGCUUUUGUACAGGAAGAACACUACUUCGUGAAGUAGCUUGACGGUACUGUAAGAAUAAGGAUCGGCUAACUCCGUAGCCAGCAGCCGCGGUAA
rnacentral:rRNA from 1 species